rnacentral:sRNA from 1 species
AUGGCAUUUAGAGGGGUGAUUCAGGACAUGAAUGAGGAGGCGGACAAUGGGAUGCCAACAUGUGAGUCCUGGAUGGAUGCAUUGGCAAAACCUCCAUCUCUUCCUCCUCCCCCGCCUCCCUCCAUCCUUGUCAAGAAAUUCCUCUCAAAGGGAUGAAUGAUGGUUGAGGCGUCGUUGGCGAGCGAGAAACUGGGUCCCUGCUCAAGUUGAGACGAAUCCAGUCAAGAAAUAGGAAACACGUACCUCUCUACAUGUUAUUGCCUAUAGAUUCAUUCCAUUAACCACCACGCACUUCUGAGAGCGGCGAGUUGGUGGUAGGUAGUUGAGUACACAAUCGAUUGAAAAAAAAAAAA